GCAAGCGUUGUUCGGAAUUACUGGGCGUAAAGGGCUCGUAGGCGGCCAACUAAGUCAUACGUGAAAUCCCUCGGCUUAACCGGGGAACUGCGUCUGAUACUGGAUGGCUUGAGAUUGGGAGAGGGAUGCGGAAUUCCAGGUGUAGUGGUGAAAUGCGUAGAUAUCUGGAGGAACACCGGUGGCGAAGGCGGCAUCCUGGACCAACACUGACGCUGAGGAGCGAAAGCCAGGGGAGCAGACGGG
rnacentral:rRNA from 1 species